UGGCAGUGCUAUAAAGGAUGCCAGCUGUGC
rnacentral:piRNA from 1 species